GAGGGUAUAGCUCAGUGGUAAAACAUGUGCUUAGCGUGCAUGAGAUCCUGGGUUCAAUCCCCAGUACUGCCA
rnacentral:tRNA from 1 species